rnacentral:misc_RNA from 1 species
GAUGAAGAACGCAGCGAAAUGCGAUAAGUAAUGUGAAUUGCAGAAUUCAGUGAAUCAUCGAAUCUUUGAACGCACCUUGCGCCCUUUGGCCAUUCCGAAGGGCAUGCCUGUUUGAGUAUCAUGAACACCUCAACUCUUCAUGGUUUUCCGUGAUGAGCUUGGACUUUGGGGGUCUUGCUGGCCUAUGGUCAGCUCCUCUAAAAUAAAUCAGCUUGCCAGUGUUUGGUGGGUAUCACAGGUGUGAUAACUAUCUACGCUUGUGGUUUUCCACCAGGUAACCUUCAGCAGUGGAGGUUCGCUGGAGCUCACAGAUGUGUCUCUCCUCAGGGAGGACAGCUCUUUGAAUGUUUGAUCUCAAAUCAGGUAGGACUACCCGCUGAACUUAAGCAUAUCAAUAAGCGGAGGA